rnacentral:rRNA from 1 species
AACGAACGCUGGCGGCAUGCCUAACACAUGCAAGUCGAACGGGACCUUCGGGUCUAGUGGCGCUCGGGUGCGUAACGCGUGGGAACCUGCCCUUAGGUUCCGGAUAAUUCCCUUUAAGGGGUGCUAAUACAGGGUAAUGUAUUCGGACAAAAGAUUUAUCGCCUUUGGAUGGGCCCGCGAUGGUUUAGCUAGUUGGUAGGGUAAAAGCCUACCAAGGCUACGAUUCUUAGCUGGUCUGAGAGGAUGAUCAGCCACACUGGGACUGAGACACGGCCCAGACUCCUACGGGAGGCAGCAGUGGGGAAUAUUGGACAAUGGGCGAAAGCCUGAUCCAGCAAUGCCGCGUGAGUGAUGAAGGCCGUAGGGUUGUAAAGCUCUUUUACCCGGGAUGAUAAUGACAGUACCGGGAGAAUAAGCACCGGCUAACUCCGUG